rnacentral:tRNA from 1 species
GGGGCGGUGGCGAAAUGGCAGACGCAGCGGACUUAAAAUCCGCCGGAGGAUAACUCCGUGUGGGUUCGACUCCCACCCGCCCUA